UACGUAGGGGGCAAGCGUUGUCCGGAAUCAUUGGGCGUAAAGAGCGUGUAGGCGGCUCGGUAAGUCCGCUGUGAAAGUCCAGGGCUCAACCCUGGAAUGCCGGUGGAAACUGUCGAGCUAGAGUCCGGAAGAGGCGAGUGGAAUUCCUGGUGUAGCGGUGAAAUGCGCAGAUAUCGGAAGGAACACCAGUGGCGAAAGCGGCUUCCUGGUCCGACACCGACGUUCAGGCACGAAAGCGUGGGGAGCAAACAGG
rnacentral:rRNA from 1 species